GACGAACCGUGCGAACGUUAUUCGGAAUCACUGGGCUUAAAGGGCGCGUAGGCGGGCGCGAAAGUCAGGGGUGAAAGCCCACGGCUCAACCGUGGAAGUGCCUCUGAUACUUCGCAUCUCGAGGGAGGUAGGGGCGUGCGGAACUUCCGGUGGAGCGGUGAAAUGCGUAGAUAUCGGAAGGAACGUCGGUGGCGAAAGCGGCGCGCUGGACCUCUUCUGACGCUGAGGCGCGAAAGCCAGGGGAGCGAACGGG
rnacentral:rRNA from 1 species